GAUGAUGAUGAUGAUGAUGAUGAUGGAGCUAUGCUGCUGUACUUGGACACCUUAUGGUAAAACAAUAAGAAUUCCAAACGGUAUUUGAUAAAUUAUUUACGAUACCCUCCAUGCACAAGAAAUCAAUACGAAUCAUGGGUUCCCUUUUUUACAAAAGCAUGGAUAAAUGGAUCUUAGGAAAAUUGUAGUUCCCGUGGUCAGGAUGUUUUUCAUGAUGGUGGCAGUUGGCCUCUUGGGAAUCUGAGAGAUUGUCCAAAAGCUGACUAACAGGAAGACAGAAGUGUAACUGCAGCACAAACAGACAGGAAACAGCUAUGUUAAGAAAACAUUUGUGAAAAUUCACUCAGCAUUGCUUACAUGAAGCCUCUAACUUGAUGAGAGAGCAAGUUGGUUAAAAAAAUAGAAGCUUAUUUGAGAAAUGAGGAGUUAGCAUUGUGCCUGUCGAGGCCUUCCUCCUGUCUAGCACAUGGACCAUCGUAAAUGGCCUUGCGCCUGGGCUGGAGUGCAGUGGUGCAAUCUCGGCUGACUGCAACCUC